CUACAGAGGGUGCGAGCGUUAAUCGGAUUUACGGGGCGUAAAGCGUGCGUAGGCGGCUUCUUAAGUCGGAUGUGAAAUCCCUGAGCUUAACUUAGGAAUUGCAUUCGAUACUGGGAAGCUAGAGUAUGGGAGAGGAUGGUAGAAUUCCAGGUGUAGCGGUGAAAUGCGUAGAGAUCUGGAGGAAUACCGAUGGCGAAGGCAGCCAUCUGGCCUAAUACUGACGCUGAGGUACGAAAGCAUGGGGAGCAAACAGGAUUAGAUACCCUAGUAGUCC
rnacentral:rRNA from 1 species